CUCCUCUGCUCCUCGCAGAAGGCCAGGGCGGCGCCGCCGCAAGUUUGACAUUUUGGCAGCGGAGACGCGCGCGGGCACUCUCGGGCCGACGGCUGCGGCGGCGGCCGACCCUCCAGAGCCCCUUAGUCGCGCCCCGGCGCUCCCGCUGCCCGGAGUCCGGCGGCCACGAGGCCCAGCCGCGUCCUCCCGCGCUUGCUCGCCCGGCGGCCGCAGCCAUGUCCCGGGGGCCCGAGGAGGUGAACCGGCUCACGGAGAGCACCUACCGGAAUGUUAUGGAACAGUUCAAUCCUGGGCUGCGAAAUUUAAUAAACCUGGGGAAAAAUUAUGAGAAAGCUGUAAACGCUAUGAUCCUGGCAGGAAAAGCCUACUACGAUGGAGUGGCCAAGAUCGGUGAGAUUGCCACUGGGUCCCCCGUGUCGACCGAACUGGGACAUGUCCUCAUAGAGAUUUCAAGUACCCACAAGAAACUCAACGAGAGUCUUGAUGAAAAUUUUAAAAAAUUCCACAAAGAGAUUAUCCAUGAGCUGGAGAAGAAGAUAGAACUUGACGUGAAAUAUAUGAAUGCAACUCUAAAAAGAUACCAAACAGAACACAAGAAUAAAUUAGAGUCUUUGGAGAAAUCCCAAGCUGAGUUGAAGAAGAUCAGAAGGAAAAGCCAAGGAAGCCGAAACGCACUCAAAUAUGAACACAAAGAAGUUGAGUAUGUGGAGACCGUUACUUCUCGUCAGAGUGAAAUCCAGAAAUUCAUUGCAGAUGGUUGCAAAGAGGCUCUGCUUGAAGAGAAGAGGCGCUUCUGCUUUCUGGUUGAUAAGCACUGUGGCUUUGCAAACCACAUACAUUAUUAUCACUUACAGUCUGCAGAACUACUGAAUUCCAAGCUGCCUCGGUGGCAGGAGACCUGUGUUGAUGCCAUCAAAGUGCCAGAGAAAAUCAUGAAUAUGAUUGAAGAAAUAAAGACCCCAGCCUCUACCCCCGUGUCCGGAACUCCUCAGGCUUCACCCAUGAUCGAGAGAAGCAAUGUGGUUAGGAAAGAUUACGACACCCUUUCUAAAUGCUCACCAAAGAUGCCCCCUGCUCCUUCAGGCAGAGCAUAUACCAGUCCCUUGAUCGAUAUGUUUAAUAACCCAGCCAUGGCUGCCCCGAAUUCACAAAGGGUAAAUAAUUCAACAGGCCUGGGGGUGAGAAGCUGAGCGGCCAGCAUGGCAAGACCGACUGCAUUUCCAGCUUUCUUCUUUUCUUUGUGGACAUU
rnacentral:sRNA from 1 species